UACAGAGGGGGCAAGCGUUGUUCGGAAUUACUGGGCGUAAAGGGCGCGUAGGCGGCCUUCUAAGUCGAACGUGAAAUCCCCGGGCUCAACCCGGGAACUGCGUCCGAUACUGGAAGGCUUGAAUCCGGGAGAGGGAUGUGGAAUUCCAGGUGUAGCGGUGAAAUGCGUAGAUAUCAAGUGGAACACCAGUGGCGAAGGCGAGUCUCUGGACAUUUCCUGACGCUGAGGCACGAAAGCCAGGGGAGCAAACGGG
rnacentral:rRNA from 1 species